UACGUAGGGUGCAAGCGUUAAUCGGAAUUACUGGGCGUAAAGGGUGCGUAGGCGGUUGGGUAAGUCUGAUGUGAAAUCUCACAGCUUAACUGUGAAACUGCAUUGGAUACUAUCCAACUCGAGGAAUGGAGGGGAGACUGGAAUACUUGGUGUAGCAGUGAAAUGCGUAGAUAUCAAGUGGAACACCAGUGGCGAAGGCGAGUCUCUGGACAUUUCCUGACGCUGAGGCACGAAAGCCAGGGGAGCAAACGGG
rnacentral:rRNA from 1 species